rnacentral:rRNA from 1 species
UACGUAGGUGGCAAGCGUUGUUCGGAAUUACUGGGCGUAAAGGGCGCGUAGGCGGCCUUCUAAGUCAGACGUGAAAUCCCCAGGCUUAACCUGGGAACUGCAUCCGAUACUGGAUGGCUUGAAUCCGGGAGAGGGAUGCAGAAUUCCAGGUGUAGCGGUGAAAUGCGUAGAUAUCUGGAGGAACACCGGUGGCGAAGGCGGCAUCCUGGACCGGCAUUGACGCUGAGGAGCGAAAGCCAGGGGAGCAAACGGG